UCUGAGAGAGGCACAAUCUGCCAAAAAAAAAAAAGAGGAACCAGCGCUUGGGCCGAGCUACAAGAUAUUCAUAUAGCCAAGGAAAACUGCAAGAACAAGCUCGUAACCUUGCAGUUCCAGACUAGCAUCAACUUAUUGCAGCACUAACAAGAUCUGUUCUGUGGCCAUUCGUAAUAAUUGUUCUGGGCUCUAGAUAGAAAAAACUCACCCUAGAGGUACAAGCAGUUCCCAUUUUUCAAUUUCGUUUCUCUUAUCAUAAAAACUGGCACUGGCUUGACUUACAGUGGGACAUCAGUCUUUUCUUUUAAAAUGUAUUUAUUUCUGAACUGAAAACCUACAAGAAAGACUGCACUGUCUUUGAGAUGGCAGAAUGCUCUGGAAAAGAAUCCCAGGAGAGUCGGAAGCAUACACAAGACCUAAUAAUCGCUAUAAUGAGUGUCUUCUUGAUAAUCUCCCUCCUACUCAUUCCGGGCUGCAGUUUCCUUUCUUACAAACUGAUGACAAAGGACAACACGACUUUGAAGAAAGAAGUGAAAUCUAUCACCAUCCAGUCUCACUUGCAUCAUGUUGAAACGAGGAUUGUCCUAUCUCCUUCCCAGCCUAUGCAAUUAGCUGCCCCCCAACAGAGGAGCUCCCAAGGAACCUCCCUCAUACAAACAUCACCGAUUUAUAAACAGCCUGGCGAUGUGCCACCGCUACGACCAGCCUCCAAUGUAUCUGCUGUCAGUUUUGCAUACACUGACCCUAGCACUGUUUUCUCAGCACCCAUACAAACAUCACCGAUUUAUAAACAGCCUGGCGAUGUGCCACCGCUACGACCAGCCUCCAAUGUAUCUGCUGUCAGUUUUGCAUACACUGACCCUAGCACUGUUUUCUCAGCACCCAGGAACCGUACUCCGGAAAGUUUUCUUUCUAACCUCUCAAAGUCAGGAAGCCUUUUUUCUAUGGAACAACAUGAUCUCUUUUAUGGGUCUUCCAGGAGUUCUUCCAGAGGGUCCAUGGACAACCCUGGAUACAAAUAUGAAGAUGGAGAAGGAAGCGGUGAUUCUGGGAGCAGCAUUUGUCCCAUUCAUGUGACAGACGAUCUACCUUUCACCAGACAUUAAUUAUAUUUAGGGUGACCAGAUCACUGACAGGAAAUAUCGAGACCGGGGGGGAGCAAAAAAAAACAAAAAACAAACAAACAAAAAAAGUAAAAAAAAAAAAAAAAAAAAAAAGCCGUUUUGCAGGUGCCGGGGGAAUUAGCAGGCCGCGGCCCCGCCCCCCCUGAGGGCCCCGGGCACAUGCGACACGU
rnacentral:lncRNA from 1 species